rfam:TPA: Bos taurus chromosome 9, whole genome shotgun sequence.
GCUGUGAUGACUGAGUGGUUAAGAUGUUAGACUCAAAAUCCAAUGGGGUAUCCCCAUGCAGGUUCAAAUCCUGCUCACAGCA